rnacentral:pre_miRNA from 1 species
UAGCUUUGUCUUAAGUCAAACUUCUUUAACUUUGACCAAGUUUUUAGAAAAAUAUAGUAGCAUCUACAAGUUCAAAUAAAAAUGCUCCAUCAAAACAGAUUUCAUAUAAAAAAUGACGGAACUAAUUUGAUGUUCUAAAUGUCGGUGGAUUUUCUAUAAAAUUGGUCAAAGAUGAAAAAGUUUGAAUUAGGAACAACAGAA